rnacentral:rRNA from 1 species
CCUACGGGCGGCAGCAGUGGGGAAUAUUGGACAAUGGGGGCAACCCUGAUCCAGCCAUGCCGCGUGUGUGAAGAAGGCCCUCGGGUUGUAAAGCACUUUCAGUGAGGAAGAACGCCUGGUGGUUAAUACCCAUCAGGAAAGACAUCACUCACAGAAGAAGCACCGGCUAACUCCGUGCCAGCAGCCGCGGUAAUACGGAGGGUGCGAGCGUUAAUCGGAAUUACUGGGCGUAAAGCGCGCGUAGGUGGCUUGAUAAGCCGGUUGUGAAAGCCCCGGGCUCAACCUGGGAACGGCAUCCGGAACUGUCAAGCUAGAGGGGAGGAGAGGAAGGUAGAAGUCCCGGUGGAGCGGGGAAAUGCGUAGAGAUCAGGAGGAAUAGCAGUGGCGAAGGCGGCAUUCAGGACUGACACUGACACGGAGGUGCGAAAGCGUAGGUAGCAAACAGGAUUAGAUACCCGAGUCGUC